GUUAGCUUUAACCAAAAAAAACUGAGACAGUUCACGGUAUUUUCAUUUUGUUACACGAAGGUGAAGGAAGAAGCCGGUUUCGACUGCAAACCAAUCACGUUGAUGCUGAUUCAGGAGCAGGGACCGCAGUGGAUUCGCUUUAUCUUCUUAGCCAAAGUCACCGGCGGGGAAAUAAAAACGCUGUCGGCCGCAGACCAGGAGUCUCUGCAGGCGUCCUGGGGGGACAGACACUCUGUCCUCCCUCUCUGAGGGGACGGGACAUCGGACUCAAGUACCUUCAGGCUCCUUGGCAUCCCGCUACUCUUUCUGUUGAUUUGAGCUCCCGUCACGUGAUGCAGAGAAUGGUCCUGGUCUUCACCAACUAUCGGAACCAGAUUUGGAUUCUACUCAUCAAAGGUACCAAACGCAUUCGAACGCAUCAUUAGCUACGAGAAAGUUGCGUUCUCAUCUCACGUCGUGACAUCGCGACUUUAACUACGUCACUUAUUUUGUUGACACUUAAUUUACCGAUUCGUCUAUAUUUGUCUCCUGAAACACACCUCGAACCCAGCGUCAACCUUUGUUG